AGCAGCCGCGGUAAUUCCAGCUCCAAUAGCGUAUAUUAAAGUUGUUGCAGUUAAAAAGCUCGUAGUUGAAUUUCGGGAUUGACACAUCGGUCGUGCCUUAAGGGGUAUGAACUGGUGUAGUCAAUUUCUCACCUUCUGGAGAACCGCGAUGCCCUUAAUUGGGUGUCGCGGGGAACCAGGACCUUUACUUUGAAAAAAUUAGAGUGUUUAAAGCAGGCAUUUUGCUUGAAUACAUUAGCAUGGAAUAAUAAAAUAGGACGGCAUGAUUCUAUUUUGUUGGUUUCUAGGAUCACCGUAAUGAUUAAUAGGGAUAGUUGGGGGCAUUAGUAUUCAAUUGUCAGAGGUGAAAUUCUUGGAUUUAUUGAAGACUAACUACUGCGAAAGCAUUUGCCAAGGAUGUUUUCAUUAAUCAAGAACGAAAGUUAGGGGAUCGAAGACGAUCAGAUAGCCGUCGUAGUCUUAACCAUAAACUAUGCCGACUAGGAAUCAGACGAUGUUAAAAAAAUGACGCGCUCGGCACCUCAUG
rnacentral:rRNA from 1 species